GGGCCCGUAGCCUAGCCUGGAUUAGGGCGUCGAGCAACCGAGCCGGAGGUCAGGGGUUCGAAUCCCCUCGGGCCCGCCA
rnacentral:tRNA from 1 species